AGGGCUUUAAGUUAACAAAAACUAAUAUCCUUCAAAGCUAUCUAUAAAGAGAUUAAUCUUUAAGUCUUA
rnacentral:tRNA from 1 species